rnacentral:rRNA from 1 species
CGUACACUCCUGCGGGAGGCAGCAGUGGGGAAUAUUGGACAAUGGGCGCAAGCCUGAUCCAGCCAUGCCGCGUGAGUGAUGAAGGCCCUAGGGUUGUAAAGCUCUUUCACCGGUGAAGAUAAUGACGGUAACCGGAGAAGAAGCCCCGGCUAACUUCGUGCCAGCAGCCGCGGUAAUACGAAGGGGGCUAGCGUUGUUCGGAUUUACUGGGCGUAAAGCGCACGUAGGCGGACUAUUAAGUCAGGGGUGAAAUCCCGGGGCUCAACCCCGGAACUGCCUUUGAUACUGGUAGUCUUGAGUUCGAGAGAGGUGAGUGGAAUUCCGAGUGUAGAGGUGAAAUUCGUAGAUAUUCGGAGGAACACCAGUGGCGAAGGCGGCUCACUGGCUCGAUACUGACGCUGAGGUGCGAAAGCGUGGGGAGCAAACAGGAUUAGAUACCCUGUAGUCCCAUGAU